GGCUCAGGACGAACGCUGGCGGCGUGCUUAACACAUGCAAGUCGAACGCUGAAGCCCAGCUUGCUGGGUGGAUGAGUGGCGAACGGGUGAGUAACACGUGAGUAACCUGCCCCCUUCUUUGGGAUAACGCCCGGAAACGGGUGCUAAUACUGGAUAUUCACUGAUCUUCGCAUGGGGGUUGGUGGAAAGGUUUUUUCUGGUGGGGGAUGGGCUCGCGGCCUAUCAGCUUGUUGGUGGGGUGAUGGCCUACCAAGGCUUUGACGGGUAGCCGGCCUGAGAGGGUGACCGGUCACAUUGGGACUGAGAUACUGCCCAGACUCCUACGGGAGGCAGCAGUGGGGAAUAUUGCACAAUGGGCGAAAGCCUGAUGCAGCGACGCCGCGUGAGGGAUGACGGCCUUCGGGUUGUAAACCUCUUUCGCUCAUGGUCAAGCCGCAGCUUUGGGUUGUGGUGAGGGUAGUGGGUAAAGAAGCGCCGGCUAACUACGUGCCAGCAGCCGCGGU
rnacentral:rRNA from 1 species